UGAUCCAGCCAUGCCGCGUGAAUGAAGAAGGCCUUCGGGUUGUAAAGUUCUUUUAGUAGUGAAGAUGAUGACAGUAGCUACAGAAAAAGCACCGGCUAACUUCGUGCCAGCAGCCGCGGUAAUACGAAGGGUGCAAGCGUUGUUCGGAUUUACUGGGCGUAAAGCGUCCGUAGGUGGUUUGUUAAGUCAGGGGUGAAAUCCCAGGGCCCAACCCCGGAACUGCCUUUGAUACUGGCAAGCUGGAGCGUGAUAGAGGAAGAUGGAAUAUCUGGUGUAGGGGUGAAAUCCGUAGAUAUCAGAUGGAACACCAAUGGCGAAGGCAGUCUUCUGGAUCAUUGCUGACACUCAUGGACGAAAGCGUGGGGAGCAAACAGAAUUAGAUACUCUGGUAGUCCACGCCCUAAACGAUGCAUGCUUGUUGUUAGGCUCCUUCGGGGGUUUAGUGACGAAGCUAACGCGUUAAGCAUGCCGCCUGGGGAGUACGAUCGCAAGAUUAAAACUUAAAGGAAUUGACGGGGACCCGCACAAGUGGUGGAGUAUGUUGUUUAAUUCGAUGCUACGCGAGAAACCUUACCGACCCUUGACAUCGUGAUCGCGAUUUCCAGAGAUGGAUUUCUUCAAUUCGGUUGGAUCACAGACAGAUGCUGCAUGGCUGUCGUCAGCUCGUGUCGUGAGAUGUUAGGUUAAGUCCUGCAACGAGCGCAACCCACGCCCUAUGUUACCAGCGGAUAAUGCCGGGGACUCUUAGGGGACUGCCCGCGUCAAGCGGGAGGAAGGUGUGGAUGACGUCAAGUCAUCAUGGUUCUUACGGGUC
rnacentral:rRNA from 1 species